rnacentral:rRNA from 1 species
GACGAACGCUGGCGGCGGGCUUAACACAUGCAAGUCGAACGGAAAGGCCCUGCUUUUGUGGGGUGCUCGAGUGGCGAACGGGUGAGUAACACGUGAGUAACCUGCCCUUGACUUUGGGAUAACUUCAGGAAACUGGGGCUAAUACCGGAUAGGAGCUCCUGCUGCAUGGUGGGGGUUGGAAAGUUUCGGCGGUUGGGGAUGGACUCGCGGCUUAUCAGCUUGUUGGUGGGGUAGGGGCUUACCAAGGCAUUGACGGGUAGCCGGCCUGAGAGGGUGACCGGCGACAUUGGGACUGAGGGAGGGCCCAGAGUGCUACGGGAGGCAGUAGUGGGGAAUAUUGCACAAUGGGCGGGAGCCUGAUGCAGCAACGCCGCGUGUGGGAUGACGGCCUUCGGGUUGUAAACCGCUUUCGCCUGUGACGAAGCGUGAGUGACGGUAAUGGGUAAAGAAGCACCGGCUAACUACGUG